rnacentral:rRNA from 1 species
UACGUAGGGUGCAAGCGUUGUCCGGAAUUAUUGGGCGUAAAGAGCUCGUAGGCGGUUCGUCGCGUCGGCUGUGAAAACCUGAGGCUCAACCUCAGGCCUGCAGUCGAUACGGGCGGACUUGAGUACUGCAGGGGAGACUGGAAUUCCUGGUGUAGCGGUGAAAUGCGCAGAUAUCAGGAGGAACACCGGUGGCGAAGGCGGUUCUCUGGGCAUGUCCUGACGCUGAGGAGCGAAAGUGUGGGGAGGCGAACAGG